rnacentral:rRNA from 1 species
UACGGAGGGGGCUAGCGUUGUUCGGAAUUACUGGGCGUAAAGCGCACGUAGGCGGCUUUGUAAGUUAGGGGUGAAAUCCCGGGGCUCAACCCCGGAACUGCCUUUAAUACUGGCAAUCUCGAGUCCGAGAGAGGUGAGUGGAAUUCCGAGUGUAGAGGUGAAAUUCGUAGAUAUUCGGAGGAACACCAGUGGCGAAGGCGGCUCACUGGCUCGGUACUGACGCUGAGGUGCGAAAGCGUGGGGAGCAAACAGG